AAAUUAGGGGUUAAAGACGGGUUCUUCUAAGAUCCUCAAAGUUUUUUGAAGAACCUUAGUGUUCUUGGCACUGAAUAUUGCCCAGAAAAGUUUCGUCCAAGAACCCCAUAGGAAGUGGGGUUCAUCAAGGAACCUCCUUAGUUGGUGGGGGUUCUUGCAGGAACCUAACUGCCCAACUGAAACAUUUGGAUUUGAAAGGACAGCAGGUGCAGGCAGGUGCAACUUAAAAAUGUAAAGAUCUCCUUAAUUUAAGGUAUACAGAUAAAGAGGCAUACAAAGGACAAAGGUAUGUCAAUAGGUAUUGGUAUGUUAUGCAGAUCAUCCUCCUCCCUUACUUCUUCAAUGAAAAUAUCAUAGUCCUCUACGUUAUGGGCAAGACUUCACCCUCCCUACACCUCUGAUGAAUAUAUCAGGAAACCUGUUCGAUCACCAUGCACUGCAAAAUCAUUCGGUCUAUGGAUACGGAGAACAUCAACACAUUAACAUCAACAGGACAAAGGAUAUACACAUUGGACUCGGGGCUCUGCUGGGAGUUUGCCUCAUAUUUAGAUGUUUUUUUAUUCUGCUUUGCCACUAAAAUCAUAAUAAACACUGACAACUGAAAUAUUGUAUUCUUGUUAUGCGUAUUAUAAUUAUUAUUAAUAAUAAUUGGGG